rnacentral:rRNA from 1 species
CCCUUAGAUGUCCUGGGCCGCACGCGCGCUACACUGAUGCAUUCAACGAGUUUUACCUUGGCCGAGAGGCCUAGGCAAUCUUUUAAACCUGCAUCGUGAUAGGGAUAGAUUAUUGCAAUUAUUAAUCUUGAACGAGGAAUUCCUAGUAAACGCAAAUCAUCAAUUUGCAUUGAUUACGUCCCUGCCCUUUGUACACACCGCCCGUCGCACCUACCGAUUGAAUGGUCCGGUGAAGCCUCGGGAUUGUGGCCAGUUCACUUUAUUGGGAGUUGGCUGUGAGAACUUGUCUAAACCUUAUCAUUUAGAGGAAGGUGAAGUCGUAACA